UAGGGAAUAGUAGAAAUGGACGAAAGUCUGAUCUAGCAACACCGCGUGUGCGAAGAAGGCCUUUGGGUCGUAAAGCACUUUUUGGAAGGAAUAGGAAGGAAUGUACUUCCAGAAUAAGUCUCGGCUAACUACGUGCCAGCAGCCGCGGUAACACGUAGGAGGCGAACGUUAUCCGGAUUUACUGGGCGUAAAGCGCGUGUAGGUGGUUUGGUAAGUAGGGCGUGAAAGCUCCUGGCUCAACUGGGAGAGGCCGUUCUAAACUGCCGAACUAGAGGAUGGUAGAGGGAGGUGGAAUUCCGGGUGUAGCGGUGGAAUGCGCGGAUAUCCGGAGGAACACCAGUGGCGAAAGCGGCCUCCUGGACCAUUCCUGACACUCAGACGCGAAAGCUAGGGUAGCAAACGG
rnacentral:rRNA from 1 species